UGAUAUUUGUGAAUUUUCUUAUUGUUUCUGUACUUUGUCAUGUCAUCUUUUUAAGAAGAUUAGUUUUCUCAAAUUGCCACGAGUCUUCUUGAGCUUUGCCACCAGUUAAACUUUAGGUUUUAUUAACUUUGCAUUUAUGAUGCUGAUAAAAAACAUCUUUGCAUUCAUUAUUUUCUUUGCUGUUAUUCUUUUUGCUACUCUUGUGGAGUCGGAGUUCUUGUAAUUGGGCCUUUGACUUUGAUGAUUUGAUUAUCUUCUACUUGUGUUGUACUGAACUUUGAGCUUUGCCAUGAGACUUCUUGAGCUUUGCCAUGAGUCUUCGUGAGCUGCCAUGAGUCUUUGUGAGCUGCCAUGAGUCUUCUUGUGCUUUGCCAUGAGUCUUUGUGAGCUGCCAUGAGUCUUUGUGAGCUGCCAUGAGUCUUCUUGAGCUUUGCCAUGAGUCUUCUUGUGCUUUGCCAUGAGUCUUCUUGAGCUUUGCCAUGAGUCUUCUUCAGCUUUGCCAUGAGACUUCUUGAGCUUCGUCACGAGACUUCUUGAGCUUUGCCAUGAGUCUUCGUGAGCUUUGCCAUGAGUCUUCUUGAGCUUUGCCAUGAAUCUUCUUGAGCUUUUACAUGAAGGAUGUAGGGUUCAGGUUUUGGAAACAGUGGAUGGAGAUACAGUUAAAGUUUAGGUUUUAUUAUCUUUGCAUUCAUUAUUUUCGUUGUUGUUAUUCUUUUUGCUACUCUUGUGGAGUGGGAGUUCUUGUAAUUGGGCCUUUGACUUUGAUGAUUUGAUUAUCUUCUACUUGUGUUGUAGUGAACUUUGAGCUUUGCCAUGAUUCUUCUUGAGCUUUGCCAUGAGACUUGUUGAGCUUUGCAAUGAGACUUGUUGAGCUUUUACAUGAAGGAUGUAGGGGUCAGGUUUUGGAAACAGCGGAUGGAGAUACAGUUAAAGUUUAGGUUUUAUUAUCUUUACAUUUAUUAUGCUGAUAAAAAAAAAAUUGCAUUCAUUAUUUUCUUUGCUGUUAUUCUUUUUGCUACUCUUGUGGAGCGGGAGUUCUUGUAAUUGGGCCUUUGACUUUGAUGAUCUGAUUAUCUUUUUCUAUUUGUGUUGGAAUGAACACUUACCAUGGAUGUUUGUUGGACAUAUUGUGAAGCUUCAGGUUUUAUUACUUUUCUACUCACUAUUUUUCUUAUUUGCUCGAUUUGGAAUGUCUACAGUUUCUCUUAUUGGCUGGAUAGUUGGAAGGUAUUUCAUUGUAUGUAUCUAAGCAAGAGUGAUGCGUCUAGGUCCUCCAUCAUCUACCGUUAUUGAUUAUAGUUUUCUUGAAUUCAUUGGCCUUACAGGAAAGCUAAGCAAUGAAGUGUGGUGUAGGAUGUAAAAAUGGUGGGUCGAAAUUCUGUGGUGAAGCUAAAUGUUUCUUUCACCAGGACAUUGUUGUGUUCAACUGAUUUAAUUUUUAACUGGCUCAACUUGUCGGUUUGAUUAUAAUCUUGUUUGUAACUUGUUGGUUUGAUUAUAAUCUUGGUUGUAUUUUGAUAAUGUAUGUUUCUAAGAGGCAUUGUGGGAUGAGAAUGAGACAAGUACAGUUGAACUUUACUCUUUGAUUUGAUGGUUUGCUUCUUGGUUUGAAAAGUUCUACUAUUUAAUUUUGAUGACUUCUCUGCAUAAUUCUAUAAUAUAGGUCUUUUGUUCUAUAUAGGUCUUUUGUUCUUUUAAUAAUUUUCCAAAACCUUUCGAUUCAUUAUUCUUGAUCCCGAACAUAUGGGUUGAGUUGUGAACUUCUUUGGACUUUUUGCAUGUAACUCUUACGCUGAAAUUAGUAUAAGAAUGAUCCUGAAAUUGAAAUUGUUUAAAUGCUUCACUUUUGUUUCAACAAUCUCCAUAUGUGUUUCUCGUUCCUUGAGUUUUGAAAUUUGCAUUUAUUUGUUUGCAACACAUUGAGUCUUUAUCUGAGGUUUCUCUUUCAGUUGAUUAACUCAACCAGUGAUGGAAUAUAGUGGGACGACUAACAUGUCUAUUCAAGCAGUUAUAGAUUUUUUUUCUUUUUUUUCCUUUAUUGUUUAUUGAGUUGAGUGUUUUCAAAAUAUUUCUGUAGCCACUUGGGAUUGAAAGUCCAACGUUAUGCCUGACAUUGGAUAAUUGGACUUCUUUUAUUAGUUUUCCAAACCGUUCAUUUUUUUCAUAUUUGUUCUAUUUGGACAGGAAUUGUAGGUGAGAAAGAUAAUGGAGUUUUGGAGGUGAAUUUGUUUAAUAUUUGUUCUAUUUGGACAGGAAUUGUAUGUGAAAAAGAUAAUGAAGUUUUGGAGGUGAAUUUGUUAAUUCCAGUGAAAACGACGAAGAACUCUUGAUAAAGUAAUUUUCUUUGUUAUUAUAUUUCUCUACCCAAUCCAGGUGUUGCAUUAAUCCCUUUGCAGCAUACAGAACUGUAACCGAUCUUAAGUUUGUAUGCAACGAUGUUUUUGGAAAUUUUGUGUCACAAACUUAUUAUUAGGAGACUACGACUUCCUUGGUUUUAUCUGAUCAUUCUGGACUUGCUAUCUUCUUCUGUGGGUUUUGGUUAGGUUUCAAUUUUCAGUAAUGUCUGGUAUGUUGACAGUAUUGGAUUUCCUUGUUUGCAUUUCAAAAACUGAACCAAUCUCAAGGCAUUACGCUUCUAUAGUUGGAGUAGUAUGAGACAACUUUGUUUCUCUGAAAUUUAGAGAGUCUCUUUAAUAUUGCAUGGUAAUUUUUUUAUACGAUGUACAAGUAUAUCCAGUUUUAUUUGGAUAUUUUUUAGCAACAAUGCUUUUGGAAUAGGAUUUGUUUGAGCGCUACCAUGAGAAAGUUCAAUUUGAAACGACAACCACUCAUAAUAGCCUAAUUUCUUCUAUAUGAGGUUUCCCCUUUUAUUUAACUUCUAAGGAAUUGAUUACCAACAUUAGGAUUGAAUUGUGAUUUGUUUUUCUACAGUGGUUUAUGAUUGUAUUCAAACAAUGUUUGGAUCUCAUCGAACCUUUAAUGAGUUGAUUUCUGAGUUUAAGAAUUCGUCUAAUAUUUUCUAAAAUUCCUCCCAUGGAACAAGUGUUUUAAGUUUUCUUGAAUUUUUUCUAUUUACCGGUAAGACAAGCAAUGGAUGUGUGAGGACAUGUAGAAACAUGCGGAUCAAUUAAAGCCUUAGUUUGUGUUAAUUCGUGACUAGCUAUUUGAAUGCAGUUUUUUAUGUGGUGACAAAGAUCUAUCAAAAUAAAAAAAUUGGUUUAGGAUUUCCUCUCUAUUUGAUAUUUUCAGAUUUGAUCACCAAAUAUAAGGAUUUUCCGUUACCAUUUGUUUUUCUGCAGUGAUGUUUGCAUUAUGUUUCAUGCUACGUCUAAUGGAUCAUGUUGUCUGGAAGGUUUUAUGGCUCUUGGUAACAGGCUUUACAAGUGCUUCAGAGGAUCAGUAGUUUCAGAGCUGAUACCUAUUAUCAUAAUUGUGUCUCGCAGUGUGAAUUGUUCAAGUUUAUUUAUUUGCAAAAGGGAUCAGUUCUCCAAUAAUUUUUGCAGAAGAUUGGAUGGCUAACAUUAUUGUUCGUUCAUUUGAUCCAGUAAGAGCUCAUUCUAGAAAUGUGGACUUCUCUUUAAAAGCCUUUAGUAUGUUUACUAUCUUCAAAAGAUAUUUUUUCUGGAUCUAUUGUUUUGACAGAGCAGGUCUUCGAGGAAGUCACGGGUCUCUUAGAUUUGGAAUUGUUCAAGUACCAUCAACAUGAUUUCAUGAUCUCUUAUGAUUUCCCCUGAAUUUUUGGUUGUUGUUUUGACAGGGUAGGGUUUGGGUAGAGUUUGGGUUUUUGGAUUAGGAAUUGUCCAACUACCAACAAUGUGUAAACCCUAAACCCUAAACCCUAAAUAUAUAUAUAUAUAUAUAUUUUUGCUAGUUUUAUUUUUCAUUGAAUUACUUAAUUGCUUUAUUAAUAUGAUCAUUUGAUUAUAAAAUUAUUCUUGGUAGUUAUAUAAUUAUUCAUGGUUGUUUUAUUACCUUUAAUAGUUAUUGUUGUUGGAAAAGUAAUCUAGAAGUCCUUUGUUGGCUAAUGAUUCUCUAACAUUUUUUUUUUAAAUUUCAUAGUAGUUGUAUUUUGCUUUGACAAUUUAGUUUAGUUUUUUUAUUGAUUCCUGCAUCGACAAAUGAAUUUUGAACUUGUUCUUGCAUAAUUUAUCAUGGGAUAAAAUGAAUUGGUGGUGUAGGUUUGGAAAACAGUGGAUCUGGACCCUGUGGAACUUUGGUUUUAUUCUGUGUUUAUUAUUUUCUUUGAUGCUAUUAUGCACGGAUAAACUUGUGGACUGGGAAUGCUUACCUCUUUAUGACAGGCAUUGUAAACGUCUGUGUCAGCCAUUUAAUUUUCUCUUUCUAGUUCACACUCAGACAUUUCUUUCAGCAACUGAGUCAUUUAAUCGCAAAGAGAGUUUUGUUUCCUUUCAUGUUCUUUGUUGUCAAUACAACCUUUGUUUCUUUCUUAUCAGCUAUAGUAUUUAAUUCAAUGCGAUCUCAGGAUGUGUUACUUGGAAGUGAUGUGGUUAUUCAUUCGAGGAUUGAUGUGUUAUUUGGAAGUGAGGUGAGGCUAUCUGAAUACCGGAAGGAGAUCCAUUCUCUUUGAUGACAGAUGCCUACUUGAGUUUGGAUGUAGUUAUUUAUUUGAUGACAGAGAUCUAUCAUAUGUAACUUUCUGUUAGUUCCUUUUCAACAGGGGAUUCUGGUUGAGGAUUAAAAAACAUAAAUUUGAAUAUUGUUUUUGUCUAAUUAUUGAAAUAUGACAAAUCUAGCGGUUUGAUAUGUGAAUAUGUUGAUUCUUUUUCAGCAAAUCAUAGGUUAGUAACAAUAAAAUGCUCAGGGAAGAUGUCUCCCCUCUAUUUGAAACUUUGUGGAUUGAGCGUAUUUUUCCAGACUGAUAUGUGAGGUAGGAUGUGGAAACACUUACCAGGACAUUUGUGAAGCUUUAGGUUUUGUUACCCUUACCAUUCUUGUGUCUUUAUUUGUGACUGACUAAACUUCUUGUUUGGAUUCUAAGUUUUGGUUGGAUUCAUUGCUAACCUUGUAGUUUGACUGGCAGUCUGGCAAUUCUUGUGGGUUUAGAGGUCGUGUAAUUUGGGGAGGACUUGUCUGGCAGAAUUUUUAACUACUUAUAUGAAGUACUGAAUUAAUAGUGAAAAAAAGAUAAAAAAAAUAUAUCAUGGCUAUUAAAAGUUUAUGUUUCUUGUCCUGUUCAGCCAUGACACUUGUGUGAACACUUGCUUCUUUCUCUAUUGCCCCAUAUGCAUUUUUUUCACAAUUUUUACUCUUUUUUAAGUUAUCCAUUUCUAAGUAAUUUAGGCUUCUCGUAGCUUUUACCAGUCCUGGAUUCAUAGUGAAAUUUGAACCUUUUACAUGGUGCAAUUGAAAUUAAGGAGUGAAUUAUUGAUCUUUAGUUUUACAGUACUGAAUUAAUUUUGGAUUUGCUUUGGUGUAGCAAAUUUGAAAGGUCAUUUUCUUAGUUAUUACUUCAUUUACUAAAUAAUCAAGAGCAUUGGACAAUUUGAUUUUGUAGUGUUUUGUUUGCUGCAUUGACAAAUGAAUCUUGCAUUGUAUUGUUUUUAAUAGUUCUGGAUUACAUUCUGAAUAUGACAUAUGAUGAUCUCUUCUAUCUUCCAAUAUGAGAAUGAUCUGCAACAUUAGAGUUGUAUUUAGUUCUAUCUCCAAAGGGAGAAUGAGAAAUUGAGAGCUCUAUUUAGUUUUAUCUCCAAUUAUCUCUAAUAUGAGAAUGAGAAACAACAGUAGUUGGAAUGUUUUCUGGCAAUCUUCCUGUGCUAUGAUUCAGUUCUCUCUCCAUAUAUGAGAAUAAGAAAAUGAGAAAGAGAAACAAGAUUAUUUGGAAUGUUUUUUGUCGUAAUCUUCUUGCACUAUGAUUCGGUUCUCUCCCAAUAUGCGAAUGAGAAACAACAAUAUUUGGAAAGUUGUCAUAAUCUUCUUGCGUUAUAUGAUUCGGUUCUGUCCCCAAUAUGCGAAUGAGAAGAUGAGAAACAACAGUAUAUGAGAGCUCCAUUUAGUUCUAUCUCCAAAUGAGAAACAACAGUACAUGAGAGUUCUAUUUAGUUUUAUCUCUAAUAUGAUAAAGAAGCGAAACAAAAGUAUUUGGAUUGUUCUCUUUGUAAUCUUCGUGUGCUAUGAGCAACGCCUCCCCUCGAGGCUAUGGUAACGGGUGAUGCCUCUCUAUUCCAACAUGAGAUCUCUAUAUAUUAUGUGGAAGCAGACACCAUCUUUUUGUCGUCUAUAUUUCUCAGCUCUUGCUGAUUUUGCCGUGCUGUUUUCUUGAUUUACCAUGCUUUUUUUUAUCAGCAAAGAAUGAAAUUAAAUUAAGAGGGAUACAAAAGGGGUAUCUCAACUCUUUUACAUAAACCAAACCACAUUAAGAAUCUCCAAGAAUAAAGAGAUGAAUAAACACCACAGAAGCAAUAGAUAGAUAAUGUUUGUUGCAUAAGUUAAACAUCCUAUUUCAGCUAGCACCGUGCUUGUAUUGGAAUGCUAUAAGCACUGCAAACUGCAGCUACAAAACCAUCAAAAUACACCAAAAUUGGUUGUCUCCACCACCUCAUUGACAUUCCUUCUACCCAACUUGCAGUGGCACGAUUGUAGCACUUGUCACAGAAUUAAUCACUUCAAUGCAGCAUCUUCCAUUCACUCCUUUUUGGACUUUGGCUUCUCCUUGUUUGCUCCUUUCAAGCUCACUUUUAACAGAAACCAAGUUCCUACUUGCCAAGGUCUAUCUCGCACUUAGAUUGGUUGGAGUUUACAACUUCGAGUUACAUCCCCCAACAUGUCUGAAUCCCCACCACAACCUCUACUGCUACCAUCUACAUGUGAGACCACUAGUUGAUCAGCAAACACACUUAGGGAUUUCCACAACAACCAAAACACCACAUAAAAAAACACAGUUUUUGUUUCCUGCAUAAAGAACCCUGAACCAGCAUACACCUUGCCUCUAUUGGUCUGUUAUAAGACACAUCAAAACAGAAUCUUUCAUCAUGUCCUUAACAUUCCUUUUGACUCCCUUGCAUACAAGCACAUAUGUCCUUUCCAUCUUGCACUAGCUGCAGGCCGUGACAAACCCACCAACACCUCCAACCAACUAUAAAUCCAGUAUAGGUCGUAGUCUUAAAACUCUUGGCACCUGGGAGUACUAAUUAUAACUUCUAAUGCAAAGCAUUGGAUUAAGAAUCCAGUCUACGAAAGAAUAAGUAAAGAAAUGCACCUUGUGUUUCAUCCAAAGCCAGGAUUUGAGUUGAGCCUUCUGAAACACCUCCUCCGCAUCUACUAGCCCUUUUUUGAAUACAAUCAGGUUCCUUUGGUCCCAGAUACACCUAAUAACAGAUGCCCAAACACCUUUCCAUACCAGGUUUUGCUUCUUACUAGCAUUGCUCAGAUAAAAACUCAUAAAGUGCAUAAUUAAAUCAUUUUGUUGAACAGAAGAGAUACCUAUCCAUUUGAAGCACAAGGACCAUACCCAUUGUGCGUAUUUACACUCCAAGAAGAUAUGUUGACAAGACUCCUCCUUAAGCUGACACAUUGCACAUAACGUAGAUUCCAUCAUUACCCCUCUCCUACUCAAACUCACCCUUGUUGGGAUUCUAUCCAACAACACUCUCCAAGCUGUCACGAUCACAUUUGGGAAUGCCUUAGUCUUCCAAAGGAGAUUAAACACAUCGGAUUGGGUUCCACGAGACUGCUUGGCAAGGCACUCAUAAGCAGAAUUCACAGAAAAAAAAGGGCUGGUUCUUCCUUCCCCCACACCUGCACAUCCACGUCAUUCCUUCUCAUUAGUGCCCCUGAUAACAGUGUAAAGAGGUCUGCUUCCAGUGAUGAUUCCCACUCAAAUCUGGCACGCCUCCAUGUCAGCCUCCAUCUCCAAUCCGAAUUAAUCCACACGCCAACUUCACCCACCGUUUGCCCCUGUUUUAAGGAUAGGGAGAACAGUCUUGGAAACAAGGAUUUGAGAUCAGAGCUCCCAACCCACACCUCCUCCCAUAACUUUACUUUGUCUCCACACCCUAGUUUUCAGCUUAGUUCUUCUUGAAACCAUCAUUUUCCUCCUCCCUCCUUGCACACUUUAAAGAGAUCUUUCCACCACCAAGAUUUUCAGCUUAGUUCUUCUUGAAACCAUCAUUAGUCCAAUUUUAAUACAUGAUAUGACAAAUGGAUUGAAUUAUGAUAUUGUCUCCUUGAAGCUUGAAUUUAUGAUCGUGUCUCUGUGCGCUGUGAUCUUAGUCACAUUGGUGGUAUAGACAAAUUGAAAAGAAGGAUCUUGGAGUCAUUCCUUUCAUUUUAGUAGUGGUAAUUACCAAGAGCUCAAGACUAUUUGACUUCAAUUUUUUCAUUACAAAACUUUAUUUUGUCUUUAUUAGUUUCUUUCAUUGAGAAAUGAAUUUUGAACUUGGGUUCUUGCAAAGCAUCAAUGUUCUUGCCUAAUUUGUGUUGCAAGAUUAUUGAUCUUUUGUAUUGGAGUUCCAAAAAUUAUAGUCUACUCAAGACUAAUUUCAUGAGUCUUGACUUUGCUAUUCUUAUUCGGAAGGUUUGUACUAUGUAUGUUUUGUCUUUUCUGAUUUAAAGUGUUUUUCCUUGUUUUUAUUUGUGUGGUUCAGACUGAAUAAAUGAGAUACCGAUUUUCUUGUUCUCCUCAUGUUACAUCAACCAUUUUAUUGCUACUUUUAUUCAUUUGCAAAGGCUCAGGAUAAUAUUAUUUCUUCAGAUUUCUAUGUACUUGAUAGUAAAUUUUUAGGUGUUGCAUAGCGCCUGGUAUGACUUUCUCUAUUGGUUUUUCAUUCUUGAAUUUAUGAAUUCAUCUUGUCUAGAUUCUAUACUUCUAUUAAGAGGACCUGGUAUGACUUUCUCUAUUCCUAACAAAAAAAACUUUUGUCCUCAAAAUUACCUAAAAAAAUAAUUAGGAUAUGAUUCACUUGUCUUCUUUUUCAUCUCCCGCAUAUAAGAUCUCACAACACUUUGACCUUUCACAACACUUUGGCCUUGUUUACACUUUCAUUUCAAAAGAUGGAUUUUCUCUUACAUGAAUUAAAUCAAAUUUUGUGUGACUAACUUUCCUUUUGUUGUAUACCAAGUUAACCAUCCAAUCUAUUUUUCCUCAAUCUUAAACACACAAUUUAGGUUAGUCUUAUGUUUUUCAAGCUUCUAGAAUAAUAUUUUUGCAUAAAGGUUAUUGUCAAAAAUGUCUAAGACGAUGUUGAUGUAAUCAAACUUCACGAUCCAUGACUUGACUUGUUAUAAGAACUAUAUAAACAUAUGCAUGAUAUAAAUCAAUAUCAAUAUAGAAAUCUUUCCAUGUUUAUUGGAAAGAUUACCUUUAAUUUUUAAUGGACAUGAUAUGAUACUAACCUUUCUAACUCAUUUUGUUUUUUUUUAACAAUAUUCUUAAAUUCAAAAAAAUGUGUAAUUAUAUUACUCACCUAACUCUAACUCAUUUUGUUUUUUUCUUAACAAUAUUCUCAAAUUAAAAAAGUGUGCAAUUAUAUUACUCACCUAACUGUUGCGUCUCAAAAAAUGUAUUGUAUGUUUCAACACUAGAAUAUUAAUUGUAAAAUUGACUUGCAAUGCGACCAAGUUUGGUAAAAUAAAAGUUAUUUUUUUCAUUGAAAUGCAUCAUUUUUUUCCAACACUAGUCUUUUUAGGACUAAAAGUAGGAUUUGCCAUUGCUUCAUUUCUCCAAAGGAUUCAUCCUCAUCUUUAUAAAAAGAUAAAUAUACUCCAAUCAAGCGUAAACUUCUUUAACAUUAGUUACAUACCUCUUUCACCACUUUUAUCAAACUAAUGUCUUCUUUUUGGUCAAUUAUCCACAUAACAUCAAGCAUACCAUUCAUUUUCAUAUAAAAAUAUUUAGUUUUAUUUGUUUUUAAUAGGUUUAAAUAUUUUUAAAAUUUGAAUCAACCAAUUGCUUCUCUUUCACUUCUUUUAGAAACUUGUUAAGCAUAUGACAAAUAAUAUGAGUUGAAGAUAUAGGAAUUUCUAAAUCCUACAUUCUAAAUUCUAAAUCUUUAAUCAUAGGUGUUGACACUUGUGUCUUCUCAUGAAUUGAAGCAUAUGUAGCAACAUUUCCUAUCUUAGGAUGGUACCUCAACAAAAAAUUGUAAUCUUUCAAAAACUCCAUCAAUUUUCUAUUAUCUACUUUCGUUAUUUGUAGGAUAGGAAACUAAUUGUAUAAUAACACUAUUUCAUUUCGACUUAGCCACGUUCAACUAUUGUAAUUUUCUCCUAAGUCUUUGAAGUUUCACUUCAUGAUAGUAAAAAAUAUAUUUAACCACGUCUCUUUUUAUGUUCAACUAUUAAAAAACUUGUGUAGUACUGAUAUAUAUUAGUUGUGUCUAAUGCAAAUAUAUUUAUUUUAUAAUUUUUAUACUAUAUCAUUUUCUCCAACUUAUUAUUUGUCGAUACACAAACUUUAUCUUGAACCUCAGAAUUUCAUUUACUUUCAUUACGAGAUCCUUAGCUGUUUUUGUACUUAACACUUAAUUAACUUAAGUUUUCGACCAUCACAAUCAACCAAGAUUAUCGAACUUGAUAGUUUAGUAAACUUGUGAAAGGCUUGUAAACUCAACUUGUAGACUCGUAAGAGUCUUGUUCAUAUAAAAUAUUGACAAAAAAAUAUUUAUGAUACCAAUUUCACAUUAUUAAAAUAAAAAAAUUCAUACAACAACAAAUUUAUUAAGACUUUGACUUCUUUUGUUACUGAAACACAAGGUUCAAAAUCAUAUAUCUUCAAAAUCAUAUAUCUUCCCAACAAAAUGAUGUUUGAAUGUGAAAAAUGUCUCCAUUAAAUAAUAAUUAUAUUUCACUUUUUUAUUGUUAUCUAAAACAUAUCUUCGGUGUUUCCAUCCAAUUUACGCAACAUUUUUAUUUCUAGAUGGAAGUGAUAAAGAUGUACCGACACACACUACCAAUUGCAACCAUUUCCCAACAUAAUAAUUAUUUUAACUUUAUUUUUUAACCACACUAAAAAAGACAAAAUCUUGAUAAAAAAUUAAACUAAUUUUUAGAAUUAAGAUAAAAAAUUAUCUUGAUUUAAUCAUGAAUGUGCAUCACUUUUUUUAGAUUUUUUCUUUUUCAAUAAUUUUAUCUUCAUUCAUUAUAAUAUAAACACAAUCUCAAAAUUUUUUUUUGAACUUUCAACUAAAAAACUUUAGUUAUCUUUAAAGUAGACAUAAACAAAUAUAUGCACAUGCAAAAAUAACCCACUACUAUGGAUGACAAAGUCAGGCAGGUCAACUCAUUAAGAAAGAACGCAGCGGAUGUCCUAUUUCAACUUGGGCUGAUUCUCCCUACACCCAAUCAAAUUGGACCUGUACCCAAUUGCAUUUGUGAAAGUACCGAAAUACCCUUAAUGAAAAUGAAAUUAGGGUUUAGUGAUUUCUGCACCCAAUCACACACCCAAGUUCGUUUAUGCCAUCCUCAUACUCAACAUCAUCUCUCGCACGAGCGUCCGCAUCCUCGCACCUUGGUUGGCAUUUCUCUGGCAGUGUAGUGUUGAGUGGAAGGACCCCUUGAACAAAGACGAAGCUAGGAGCGCGAAGGUCGUCCAUUGUUGCGCGAAGGUUUUAGGGCAUCAUAUGCAUCAGCGCACCCUACAAGCUUUUUCAAAAUAAACAUGACAAUGGUACAAUUGGAUUUUAGAAUGUUUUUCGGGUGCCAAUCACAAUUGAUUGGGUGCAGGAAGAAAUUGCUUUCAACUUGUUGACUUGCUUAGGCUCACCUCGCAUAAUCCGCAGUCCGCACGGGCCAAGUACAAGACGGGACAGGCUAACUCACAACCAACAUAUUUUAAAAAAUUAGACAUUUUUUUGCACCCCAUAAUUUUUUUUUUUAGCCUCAUAAUCUCAAAAAAUUUAAACUAUUCAUUCUAAAUUUUAUAAUCAGUAAUACAAAUUUGUAUUAUAAAGUGUACAAUCUAGAAUGUUGUACAAUCUUAAACCAAAUUUUAACUCUUAGAUUCUAUAACCCUAGAAGUCUCUAAAUUUCACAUUCCGAAAUUAAAGAUAAAACAUUCAACAAAAAAUGUCAAAGGAUAAUUAUAAUAUUUUUUGAAGUAUGGGGUGUAGUAAGUAGGGGUGGCAAUGCGGGCUGGCUCGCCCCGCAUUUGAUUCCCAAUGAGUGCGAUUUCAUUUCAAUGACCACCCCGCAUAAGAGGUAACCGACGGGCCUGAGGGCCAAUCCGCAUAAGAAAAAUAUUUAUUUUCAAAAAUUAAAAUUUCAUCAAAUAUAAAAAAAUUUAUUCUUACUAUGGAAAAAUUACAAUUUUAUACAUGUUUCAAUUCGUUCAAUUAAGAUAAAGUUAUAAAUUCAAGUGUGAGGAUUGUUAGAAGGUUUGAUUAAAAUUAACUAAAGUUUUAUUUUUUGCAUAUAUUUUUCCUAUAUAUGUAUGUGAAUGUAUAAGAAUACCUUAUCAAAGUUUUGUUAUAAAAUAUUUUAAUGAAGAUGACUAAUUUUUUUAACUAUCCUAUUUAAAUCUCUUUUUUUAUAUUUUUUUUAUUAACAAAUUUAAAAUAUAAGAUUUACUUAAAAUCAAAUCCAAUGUCACUCUUCAUACUAACUCCAUGGCUCAACUAAAGACCUGGUCCUGGGUAACCUAUAAAAUUCAUUUUGCUUAUUUUUCCUUUUGUGACUGGUGUUUGGAUCCCUGUUUAAUUAAACAUAAGUGUUUUAUUUAGGUUGGUUAGACUCUAUUUGUUCUAGUAGGAAGUUAGUGAUAAACUUCCCAAAUGAGGGUUGUUAGUUUUUGUGUGAUUUUGUACAUGAGUUUGGAUCACUCAUAAAGUGGUUCUUAUUUAUUUAUUUUUAUUGUUGAUAAAAAAAAACUAACUCCUUUAAAUGAUUAAAAUAAAAUAUUUUUUUUAGUAGAUUAAAUUCAAUUUUUUAAAAUAAAAUAAAUAAAUGUUGCACUACAAGGGUGAAUGAGGUAUGAUUUUUUUUUACAAAAAAUAAAAUAAUAUUUUUUCAUUUAUACGGGUCAACCUGCCCCGCUCCGUUAUUGGUCCGCUCUGGGAGUUAUGCGGGGCAGGUCUAAGCAGGUCAGCAGGGUAGAUUAGUGAGCUCGCCCUGCGCCUUUUAGUAGCGGGUUGCGGGCUGACCCGCCCUACAUUGUCAUCCCUGGCAAUAAGAAAGACAUGGAGGUGCAGGAAGAAACUAUCCUCAAUCCCUAGUUCAUAACACCUUCAUGAAAUUUGAUAAUAGUCUUUUUUUCCUUUUUAAAAUGCAUAAAUUUUAUAGGUUUCAAUAUUCAUCAAAUGUUAAAUGCAUUAGUCAGAUUUUGGCCUUUUUAUAAUAAAAUUUAAAUAUAUAAUAAUAUUAUUAUAUAUAUAUAUAUAUAUUAUUUUUUAAAUUAAAAUAAUAAUCAUGUAUCUACAUGUAUUGUCUUUAAAAAUAUAUAUAUUUAAAGAAAUAUUUAUUAGUCAAUUUAUUAUAAUUUUUUUAUCCAUAUUUUAUUACAUAUGUCGUGAGAAUAAUAUUAUGAAACUAUUUACCUAAAUCAUCUAAAUAAGAAAAAAAUUAUUUUAAUAAACAAAACAAAAUUUUAUUCAAAAUUUAUAUUUAAUUUUUUUCAUUAAUUAAAAAAAAUCUUAUGUGGAUCGGCUUGUGGGUUAGCUAGCAUGCGAGGCGGGCCAAUAAAAGCAACCCGUAUAUUUUACGCGGUACGAACCAACGUAGCCUGCAUUUUGUGGGCCAAAUGCGAGGCAAACGGACCUGCAUUGCCAUCCAUACGCACUACCCUCAUGUUAUCCUAAGGUCGAACAACUCUGAUACCAUAAAUGUAACACCCCCAAUAUUUACUAUACACUUAUUACAAAGUUUAUUGUAAUAUAAUUUUAUUACAAUAAACGUAUUCAAGAACUACAUAAACCAUACAUGGAUUUAUAUAUCAAGGAUAUUUAAUCCAUUUCUGCUCAGGCUAAAAUAUUCCCGCUCAAGUUGACAAAAACUUCUUUCUUUUAUUUUAUUUUUCUUCUUGUCUCAUCAAUGAAUUGGAUUCUUUAGCAAAAAACUUUGCUUGAACAAAAAUAGUGCUAAAAACAAGUUUGAGUGCUUGGUUAUUUUCGCUUGAGCAAAAAUUGGCUUGCUUGAGAAAAAUAUCAAAAAAAUCAACUAUUACAAUAAUACAUAGUCAUUUUUAAAGUUGUACCUUAAAAGCAAUUCAAACUCAAACAUUAAAAAUAUGUUCAACAACACACAACAUCAAAUAGAACAUCAAGUGAUCACAUCACUCUUUAAUUUAGGUUAUUCUGCUAAGGCUCUACCAAAAAUAUAAUUAUUUUUUCUUAUGUGAAAUUCCUUAUUUCAAGAAAAAAAAUCUACCUCAAACAAAAGAACCACUCAAAAUUUAAAGCUCUAAAGCAAAAUAUCCAAACUUAAUUAAAUUUUAAUAUAAGGUUAAUCAAGUUGAUGAUCGCUUUUGACAACUAAUUUUACCAAGAUGGAUGACAAAAUUAGAAGAAAAUAAAAAAAAUAGAGAAUAUUUAGGAUAAAUAAGAACUUAUCCUGUUUUGAAAAUCUAAUUGGAUAAAAAUGAUUUCUAACUCUUUAGCUAUUGUAGGGUGUGAUGAAAAUUUGAAAUAAAUGAAGUGUAAAAAAAGAAAAGUAUAAAGAAAAGGAAAGAAGAAAGAAAAGAAAAAAAAAGAAUAUUAGGAUAUAAUUUCUUAUCUUCUCUUCCAUAUUUGAAGUGGAAUUAUCGUAUAUGAAAUGUUAAAAAAAUGACUACAUUUAUAUUUCUAUUAUGAAAUUGUUUUAUUUGAAAAUAUAUUUUCUUUUACUUACACUGAAUUAUAUUCUAAAUUAUAAUUGAAUUGUGUAUAUAUUUGUUAGUUGCAAUAAAUAAAAAAUAUUAUAAUAAAAGAGAUCAAACAUCUUAUUAAUUUUUAUGUAAUAGAAACUAUUCUCUUUGAAAAUAUGGAAAUAAGAAAGAAAGUGGAGGCAUGAAAGGGAUUUACUUACAAUUAUUCUCAACAACAAAAUAUUUUAUCAUUCAAAAAUUACAUUAUUUAGAAAAAAGAUUAGGAUAUAAUUUUUUUUAUAUUCUCUUUCAUUUAUGAGAUGAAGUGGAAUUAUCGUAUAUAAAAUCUUAAAAAGCUGACUAUAUUUAUAUUUUUAUCAAAUAAGAAUUAAAAAACAGACUUUCCUUAAAAAAUAUAUUUUUCUUUUACUGAAUUAUAUUCUAAAUUAUAAUUAAAUUGUGUAUAUAUUUUUGUAGUUGCAAUAAAUAAAAAAUAUUAUGAGUGUUGACUAAUAGAGAGAUAAAACAAAUUCUUAUUAAUUUUUAUAUUAAAUUGUCUUUUCUACACUCUAAGAAAAACAUACUUACUAAAGUAUGAAGUUAAAGUUGUUCUUAUUUCAUCUGUAUAAAUUUUUUGCCGACUAAAACUGUUUUGAACUUUCACUACAAUUUUGAAAUUUGGAUUUACAAUUAAUAAUAACAGAUGAAAAUUUAUUAAAAGAUCACCAUUAUUUAAAAAUAAAAAUUAUUUGUUUUAAAAUAUAAAAAAAUCGAUUGAACUUAUAAUAUAUAACUAUUUAUAUUAAAAGUUUUUUUUUUCUGUAAAUUAUUUUUAGAAAUUAUGCUAUUAAUUAUUGGUGAGAUCAUAGACUUUUUCCCUUAAAAAAAUCAAAAUAAAACAUUAAGUGUGGAUGACAAUAACUUUUGUACAGCUACAUUAUAUAAUAUUAAUAGCUUUCCUUGACAAUUUGAUUAUUACCCAUCGCAUAUAACUUUAGUUUUAUUAAUCAAACUAUUUAUUUAUGACUUAAUUUAAAUAAACAUUCUCAUGAAAAAAAAUUAAUAUUAAAGUUAUAGUAUCUAAAAUAAUGUUUAGAGAAUCACGGUCUAAAGAAAACUAUAUUUUCAAUUUUCUUUUACCAUGUCAAUCGAAUAAAUUAAUUAAUUAAGUCUUCUAUUAAACUAAUAAAAUUCUAUAUAGAAAAAUUAUAAAUUAUUUAUUUAAAAUUUACAUAUCUUCUCACAUUAAAAUAUGUGAACAAUUUAUUUUAUUAUAAUUGAUUCACAUAAGCUAAAUAAUAAUAAUAAAAGUUAAGAAAAAAUGUAACUAUAUUUAAAUUUCCAUACAUAAUAUACUAAUAAACUAUUUAUUAUAUUAUAUAUUUUCCCGUUAAGUGAGUUGGCGCCCAAAAUCCUCUCUCAAUAUAAAGACAGUAACAGUGAACUAAAGAAACACAACAGAACUAAAUUUCUAAUUUUCUCUCCCUUCGAUUACGAGUUCAAGCGACUCGAGAACAUUCGCCGCAACGUUGAGGUGAUGGCAGCGCUCAAACUCCAUUCUAAAGCCACCCACAACUCUCCAAAGGUACUCUUCUCUCUUCUGUAACUUACCAUUUUUUUGGAAAUCUCCAGAGUUUCUCCAGAGGUGAAACUGAAACCCCGAUUGAAAUAUUAUGUUUUGGUCAAUAUCCAAGAUCAGUUUUGUUGGUAUUGCUUUGGUGAUUUUGUUUUGUUGGUGUUGCUUUGGUUAUUGUCGUGAUUCUCUAUAAGGAUUUGUGGAAUUACAUGAUGUUUUCGUCAUGGGAUAGAAGAGUUAUUAAGAAUUAUUAGCAAGUGAUCAAUGUGCUUUUAUCGGAUUGUGAUUCAUUUACGCCGAAUGUGAUUCUUUGUGAUGAUGGCGAGUUUUAAAUCUUUUGAUCAAAUCUUUUUUGUCUAUGGAUGAAAUGAAAAACAUAAUAGUUCAGAAAGGCCAAUUGAUCCAAGUCUUCUUUUAAUCUCCUUUCUAUUAUUUAAUUUAUAUGGUAUUGAUCACCGAAAAUAAGGAUUGGAUUAUGAUUUGUUUAUUAGUGUUUAUCUGCAUCUGCAUCUUUAUCAUUUUUCUACACUUCUUUUUAGUAAGAGCUUAUUUCGUUUUCUUGAAUUUUUGGCUGUACAGCUAAUUCGUUUCUUGAAUUUUUGGGCUGUAUAGGGAAGGCACGCAAUGGAUGUGUGGUGUAGUGUAAGACAUGAUGUGAAGUAUUAUGUUUUGUUACCCUAAUUUCAGUCUGCUUGAUCUCCAAGGAUUGAAUGGUGUUCCAUGUUGAAUUUUUUCUACUUGAUUUCCAAGGAUUGAAUUGUGUUUGAUGUUUGAAUUAUUUUCACUUAAUGUCCUGCAGUAUCUCAUGGAGUAUGUUAUAUAAGGCCUAAGGGUUGAAUCAUCUUUUAAUUUCUUCUAUGUGUUGAACUGGAGUUGAUCACCGAACAUUAAGAUUUUAAUUGUGAUUUGUUUCUCUGCAGCAGGGUUUUGUUUAGUUUUGUGUGAUGACCUGUAUCUCAUCGUGCCUGUUAUGAGCAACUAAGGCUCCACCGGUUUUGAAUUCAUUAAUUUAUCUUAUCCUUUCUUAAAUUCUUCCCAUGAUGUGUCGAGCCUAUAAGUGGCUCCCUUGGUUUUGAAUUUGUGGCCUCCCUUGGUUUUGAAAUUUUGAAUUUACCUUAACCUUUCUAUACUAUGUCAUGUCAUCUCUUUAAAAGAGAAUAGUUUUCUCGAAUCUCCAUGAUUCUUGUUCAGCUUUUAUUGGAAGGCAAUAUAUAUGUGGGCAGGUUUCAGAAACAGUAAAUGGAGGUCGUGUGAAACUUUAGGUUUUUAUUAUCUUUGCGGUUAUUCUUUUGGCUAAACUUGUGGAGUGGGGUUCUUGUAGACAGGCACUAUAUGACUAUGAGAGGCUUUGACAUUUGUGUUUGUGUCUUCGACUUUGAUUAUCUUCUUCUACGUGUUGCAGUGUCUUUCUACAUGUUGCACUGACUUGCUAUGGAUGUCUGUUGGAUUGUGGAGACAAUUGCGGUAGAUUAUUGGACUUACUGUGAAGCUUUAGGUUUUAUUAUGUUUUCAUUCACUAUCUUAUGUGCUUGAUUUGAAAUGGCUGUAUUCUCUCUUAUUGGUUGAAUAGUAGGAAGCUACACGUGUCAGUCACUGUGUGUCUAAGCUAGGGCGAUUCUUAAUUAUGCUUAUCCUUUAUCUCAUGAUCCCAACUAUCUUCCAAAAUGAGAAUGUUCUCCAUAAUGACAGUAAUAUUUAGUUAUAUUUCCAAUAUGAGAAUGAAAAACUAUCUCUCAAAGCUAUGAGAGACCAAUUCCAAAAGGAAAGCUCCAACAUGAGAGCUCUAUUUACUUCUUUCGGGUUGGGGUCUCAGUAUUUGUGAUAGGAUAUGGAAGCAGACUGUAUCUUAUUUCUAACUAUAUUUCUCAAUCUUAGUCCCUUGCUGAUUUUGGUCUUUAUUAUUUAAUGUUUUUGGACUUGAUCACUUAACAUAUGGGCUGAAUUGUUGUUUAUCUACAAUAGUAUUUCAAAGUAUUUUUGUAAUCUUCUUCGUGCUCUUGGUUUUGAAUGGUGGCUUCCCUUGAUAUUUUAGAUUAGUGAAUUUAUCUUAUUGUUUCUUUACUUUGUCAUGUCAUCUUUUUAAGAAGAUUAGUUUUCUCAAAUCGCCAUGAGUCUUACUUGAGCUUUGUCACGAGUCUUAUUGAACUUUGCCACGAGAAUUCUUGAGCUUUGCAACGAGUAUUCUUGACCUUUUACAUGAAGGAUGCAACGGUCAGGUUUUGGAAAUAGUGGAUGGAGAUACAUUUAAACUUAGGUUUUAUUAUCUUUGCAUUUAUUAUGCUGAUAAAAAAACAUCUUUGCAUUCAUUAUUUUCUUUGUUGUUAUUCUUUUUGCUACUCUUGUGGAGUCGGAGUUCUUGUAAUUGGCCAUUUUACUUGUGUUGUAGUGAACUUUGAGCUUCGCCAUGAGUCUUCUUGACCUUUGCCAUGAGUCUUAUUGAGCUUUGCCACGUGUUUUCUUGAGCUUUGCCAUAAGACUUCUUGAGCUUUGCCAUGAGUCUUAUUGAGCUUUGCCACGUGUUUUCUUGUGCUUUGCCAUAAGACUUCUUGAGCUUUUCCAUGAGUCUUCUUGAGCUUUGCCAUGAGACUUCUUCAGCUUUGCCAUCAGUCUUCUUGUGCUUUGCCACGAGUUGUUCUUGUGCUUUGCCAUCAGGAGUCUUCUUGAGCUUUGCCAUGAGACUUAUUGAGCUUUGCCAUGAGUCUUCGUGAGCUGCCAUGAGUCUUCUUGAGCUUUGCCACGAGUCUUGUUGUGCUUUGCCAUGAGACUUCUUGAGCUUUGCCAUGAGUCUUGUUGUGCUUUGCCAUGAGACUUCUUGAUCUUUGCCAUGAGUCUUGUUCAGCUUUGCCACGAGUCUUCGUGAGCUUUGCCAUGAGUCUUCUUGAGCUUUGCCAUGAGUCUUCUUGUGCUUUGCCAUAAGUCUUCUUGAGCUUUGCCACGAAUCUUCUUGAGCUUUGAGCUUUGCCACGAAUCUUCUUGAGCUUUUACAUGAAGGAUGUAGGGUUCAGGUUUUGGAAACAGCGGAUGGAGUUACAGUUAAAGUUUAGGUUUUAUUAUCUUUGCAUUCAUUAUGCUGAUAAAAAAAAUCUUUGCAUUCAUUAUUUUCUUUGUUGUUAUUCUUUUUGCUACUCUUGUGGAGUGGGAGUUCUUGUAAUUGGGCCUUUGACUUUGAUGAUUUGAUUAUCUUCUAGUUGUGUUGUAGUGAACUUUGAGCUUUGCCAUGAGUCUUCUUGAGCUUUGCCAUGAGUCUUCUUGAGCUUUUCCAUGAGACUUGUUGAGCUUUGCCUUGAGACUUGAUGAGCUUUGCCAUGAGUCUUCUUGAGCUUUUACAUGAAGGAUGUAGGGGUCAGGUUUUGGAAACAGCGGAUGGAGAUACAGUUAAAGUUUAGGUUUUAUUAUAUCUGCAUUUAUUAUGCUGAUAAAAAAAUUCUUUGCAUUCAUUAUUUUCUUUGCUGUUAUUCUUUUUCUACUCUUGUGGAGUGGGAGUUCUUGUAAUUGUGCCUUUGACUUUGAUGAUCUGAUUAUCUUUUUCUACUUGUGUUGCAAUGAACACUUACCAUGGAUGUUUGUUGGACAUAUUGUGAAGCUUCGGGUUUUAUUACUUUUCUACUCACUAUUUUUCUUAUGUGCUCGAUAUGGAAUGUCUAAAGUUUUUCUUAUUGGCUGGAUAGUUGGAAGGUAUUGUAUGUAUCAAAGCAAGAGCGAUACGUCUAGGUCCUCCAUCAUGUACCCUUAUUGAUUAUAGUUUUCUUGAAUUCAUUGGCCUUACACGAAAGCUAAGCAAUGAAGUGUGGUGUAGGAUGUAAAAAUGGUGGGUGGAAAUUCUUUGAUCGGUGAAGCUAAAUCUUUUUUUCACCAGGACAUUGUUGUGUUCAUCUGAAUUAAUUUUUAACUGGCUCAACUUGUGGGUUUGAUUAUAAUCUUGGUUGUAACUUGUUGGUUUGAUUAUAAUCUUGGUUGUAUUUUGAUAAUGUAUGGUUCUAAGAGGAAUUGUGGGAUGAGCAUGAAACAAGUGCGGUUGGGCUUUACUCUUUGAUUUGAUGGUUUGCUUCUUGGUUUGAGAAGUUCUUUCUACUAUUUAAUUUUGAUGACUUCUCUGCAUAAUUCUAUAAUAUAGGUCUUUUGUUCUAUAUAGGUCUUUUGUUCUUUUAAUAGUUUUCCAAAACCUUUCGAUUCAUUAUUCUUGAUCCCAAACUUAUGGGUUGAGUGAACUUCUUUGGAAUUUUUGCACGCUGAAAUUUUUGAAAUUAGUAUAAGAAUGAUCCUGAAAUUGAAAUUAUUUAAAUGCUUCAGUUUUGUUUCAGCAAUCUUCAUAUGUGUUUCUCGUUCCUCGAUUUUUGAAAUUUGCAUUUAUUUGUUUGCAACACAUUGAGUCUUUAUCUGAGGUUUUUCUUUCAGUUUAUUAACUCAACCAGUGAUGGAAUAUAGUGGGACGACUAACAUGUCUAAUCAACCAGUUAUAGAUUUUUUUUCUUUUUUUUCUUUAUUGUUUAUUGAGUUCAGUGUUUUCAAAAUAUUUCUGUAAGCACUUGGGAUUGAAAGUCCAACGUUAUGCCUGACAUUAGAUAAUUGGACUUCUUUUAUUAGUUAUCCAAAUGAAUUUGUUUCAUAUUUGUUCUAUUUGGACAGGAAUUGUAUGAAGAAAGAUAAUGGAGUUUUGGAGGUAAAUUUGUUUCAUAUUUGUUCUAUUUGGACAGGAAUUGUAUGCGAGAAAGAUUAUGAAGUUUUGGAGGUGAAUUUGUUAAUUCCAGUCAAAACGACGAAGAAAUCUUGAUAAAGUAGUUGUCCUUGUUAUUCUAUUUCUCUACCCAAUCCAGGUGUUGCAUUAAUCCCUUUUCAGCAUACAGAACUGUGAUCGAUCUUAAGUUUGUAUGCAACGACGUUUUUGAAAAUUUUGUGUCACAGACUUAUUAUUAGGACUUAUUACCUUGAUUUUAUCUGAUCAUUUUGGACUUGGUAUCCUCUUUUGUGGGUUUUGGUUUGGUUUCAAUUUUCAGUAAUGUCUGAUAAGUUGGCAGUAUUGGAUUUCCUUGUUUGCAUAUCAGAAACUGAACCAAUCUCAAGGCAUUAAGUUUUUAUAGUUGGAGUAGUAUGAGACAACUUUGUUUCUCUGAAAUUUAGAUAGUCUGUUUAAUAUUGCAUGGUAGGUUUUUUAUACUAUGUACAAGUAUAUCCAGUUUUAUUUGGAUAUUUUUUAGGAACAAUGCUUUUGGAAUAGGAUUGUUUGAGUGCUACCAUGGGAAAGUUCAACUUGAAACGACAACAACUCAUAAUAGCCUAAUUUCUUCUCUAUGAGGUUUCACCAUUUAUUUUACUUCUAAGGACUUGAGCACCAACAUUAGGAUUGAAUUGUGAUUUGUUUUUCUACAGUGGUUUAUGAUUGGAUUCAAUCAAUGUCUGGAUCUCAUCGAGCCUUUAAUGAGAUUGUUUCUGAGUUUAAGAAAACGUCUAAUAUUUUCUAAAAUUCCUCCCUUGGAACAAGUGUUUUUAGUUUUCUUGAAUUUUUGCUCUUUAUAGGUAAGACAAGCAAAGGAUGUGAGGACAUGUAGAAACAUGGGGAUCAAUUGAAGCCUUAGUUUGUGUUAAUUCGUGACUAGUUAUUUGAGUGCAGUUUUUUUAUUUGGUGACAAAGAUCUAUCAAAAUAAAAAAAUUAGUUUAAGAUUUCCUCUCUAUUUGAUAUUUUCAGAUUUGAUCACCAAAUGUAAGGAUUUUCUGUCGUCAUUUGUUUUUCUACAGUGAUGUUUGCAUUAUGUUUCAUGCUACGUCUAAUGGAUCAUGUUAUCUGGAAGUUUUUAUGGCUCUUGGUAACAGGCUUUACAAGGGUUUUCAGAGGAUCAGUAAUUUUAGAGGUGAUACCUAUUAUCAUAAUUGUGUGUUGCAGUGUGAAUUGUUCAAGUUUAUUCAUCUGCAAAAGGAAUCAGUUCUUCAUUCAUCUUUGCAGAAGAUUAGAUGGCUUGUUCAAGUUUAUUCAUUUGCAAAAGGGAUCAGUUCUUCAUUCAUCUUUGAAGAAGAUUAGAUGGCUAACUUUAUUGUCCGUUCAUUUGAUCCAGUAAGAGCCCAUUCUAGAAAUGUGGACUUCUCUUUUUUGUUCAUUUUUAGAUUUGGAAUUGUUUAAGUACCAACAACAUGAUUUCAUGGUCUCUUAUGAUUUCUCCUGAAUUCUUAGUUGUUGUCCUACUACCAACCAUGUGUGUAAAAGUUUGAAAUAUACGUUGUGGAUAUUUUCUAGGGAUAUAUAUAUAUAUAUAUAUAUAUAUAUAUAUAUAUUUAGUUGCUAGUUUUAUUUUUGAUUGAAUUACAUAAAUGAUUUAUUAAUAUGAUUAUUUGAUUAUAUCAGAGUUGUAGUGCUUUUUAUAAAAUUGUUCUUGGUAGUUAUGUAAUUGUUCAUGGUUGUUUUAUUACCUUUAAUAGUUAUUGUUUUUGGAAAAAUAAUCUAGAAGUCCUUUGUUGGCUUUUGAUUCUCUAACAUUUUUUUUUUAAUUUUAUAGUAGUUGUAUAUUGCUUUGACAAUUUAGUUUAGUUUUUUUAAUUGACUCUGAUUGUUAAUUAAAUAUUUAUUUACAUUAGAAUGUUGAUGAUGUAAAUGAUUUCUUUUAAUGUUGAUUAUGAUUCUAUUUUAUAAAAUAUUGUGUUAUGGUAAUCAUUAAUUAAUUGCUUUGUAUGCACUCAUUUAUCAUAUUGUUGUAUGACAAAUCUUAAAGCUCCCUAAGAGAAAGGUUCAUGGGUUGCUGUGUGGAAAGUUCUAAAACACGCUCAAUAUAGUAAAUUAUGGAUCAUGUGCUUUUACGGAAGAAUUAUUAAUAAAUUGAAGUACAUGAAUUCUUAGUAUAAUUCUCUAGUUGAUGAUGACGAGUUUUUAACCUUUCGCUUAAAUUUCUUUGCACCUUUUAAGCUUAUGGCUGGUUCACUGAUAUUUCUUUUGCCUUUGGAUGAUAUGAAAACCCCAACAGCCAAGGGCUAAGCAUAACGGAAGUCUUUUGAGUUUCCCUUUUAUUAUUUUUUUUUCUGGUAUUGAUGACCGAACAUAAGGAUUGAACUAUGAUGUGUUUAUCUGCAGUGGUGUUCGGAUUAGUUGGGUAUAUUCGCAUUAUCAAGUUUCUAUACUUCCUCUUAGCAAGAGCGGUUAUUGUUUCCUUCAAUUUUUUGACUGUAAAGGGUUUAUCGUUUCCUUCAAUAAAAUUUGAUAUUCGUGUUCAUUCCUUUUCAGCAAGUCAAGAGUCUCUGAGAUUUCUUUUGGCGGUUGAGGAACAAGAUGGUUUUACAGGAUAUUCUAAUUUCUCUAUACUUGAUCACCAACAUUGAAUAGUGAUUUGUUCUUAUGCAGUAAACAUAAAGAUUUAUUUUUGAUUUGUUUCUCUACAGCAAUGUUUUGAUUUUUUCGUAUCUAAUAGUUCUUUAUUACUAGUUAUAGUUCUGUUAAUUUCUCUAGCAAGAGCUCAGGACUAUUUGGAUUCAAUUUUUUUAUAACAAAACUUUAUUUUGUCUUUAAUAGUUUCCUUCAUUGACAAAUAAAUUUUGAACUCGGUUCUAGCAAAGCAUCAAUGUCUUUGCCUAAUUUGUGUUUCAAGAUUAUUGAUCUUUCGUAUUGAAGUUCUGAAAAUUAUAUUUUUUUCUUAGGUGGAGAAGUAUUGAAAAGAUGGAUCUUGAAGUUAUUCCUUUCAUUUUAGUAGUGUAACUAGCAAGAGCUCAAGAUUAUUUGCCGCCAUUCUUUGAUUACAGAAGUUUUUAUUUUGUUUGUUUCUUGCAUUGACAAAUGAAUUUUGAACUUGUUCUUGGAUAAUUUAUCUUUGGGAGAAAAUGAAUUGGUGGUGUAGGUUUGGGAAACAGUGGAUCAGGACACCCUGUGGAAAUUUAGGUUUUAUUAUGUGUUUAUUAUUUUCUUUGCUGCUAUUAUUCAUGGAUAAACUUGUGGAUUGGGAAUGCUUACCUCUUUAUGACAGGCACCGUAAAUGUCUGUGUCAGCCAUUUAAUUUUCUCUUUCUAGUCCACAGACAUUUCUUUCAGCAACUGAGUCAUUUAAUCGCAAAGAGAGUUUUGUUGCCUUUCAUGUUCUUUGUUGUCAAAACAACCUUGUUUCUUUUUUAUCAGCUAUAGUAUUUAGUUUCACUGCGAUCUCGGGAUGUGUUAUUUGGAAGUGAUGUGGUUACUCAUUUAAGGAUUGACGUGUUAUUUGGAAGUGAGGUGGUUAUUCAUUCGAGGAUUGAAUUCCAUUCCCUUUGACUUGCAUUGUUUGUGUUCAUUGCUAUCAAACAACUUUCUUCAUUUUAAAUGUAUGGAGUCUAUUUUUUUAAGAUGAAAUCCCCACUAAAUGUUUAUGUUUUAUUUUUUCUUUCUUUUUCAUCAUCUCCUAGUUAUUUGUGUUUCUCAUAGGCUUGGUCUCAUCCCUUCGACUUGCAUAUGUUUGUGUUCAUUGCUAUUGAACAACUUUCUUUUUUGCCAUUAGUCUUCUGGAGCUUUGCCAUGAGACUUCUUGAGUUUUGCCGUGAGACUUCUUGAGUUUUGCCGUGAGACUUCUUGAGCUUUGUCACAAGUCUUCUUGAGCUUUGCCACGAGUCUUCUUGAGCUCUGCCAUGAGUCUUCUUGAGCUCGGCAAUGAGUUUUCUUGAGCUUUGUCGUGAAGAAUGUAGGGGUCAGGUUUUGGAAACCGUGGAUGGAGAUGCAGUUAAAGUUUCGGUUUUAUUAUCUUUGCAUUUAUUAUGCUGAUAAAAAAAAUCUUUGCAUUCAUUAUUUUCUUUUUUGAUAUUCUUUUUGCUACUCUGGUGGAGUGGGAGUUCUUGUAAUUGGACCUUUGACUUUGAUGAUUUGAUUAUCUUCUACUUGUGUUGUAGAGAAUUUUGAGCUUUGCCAUUAGUCUUCUUGAGCUUUGCCAUGAGUCUUCUUGAUCUCUGCCUUGAGCCUUCUUGAACUCUGCCAUGAGUCUUCUUGAGCUUUGCCAUGAAUCUUCUUGAGCUUUGUCAUGAAUCUUCUUGAGCUUUUACAUGAAGGAUGUAGGGGUCAGGUUUUGGAAAUAGUGGAUGGAGAUACAGUUAAAGUUUAGGUUUUAUUAUCUUUGCAUUUAUUAUGCUGAUAAAAAAAAUCUUUGCAUUCAUUAUUUUCUUUGCUCCUAUUCUUUUUGCUACUCUUGUGGAGUGGGAGUUUUUGUAAUUGGGCCUUUGACUUUGAUGAUCUGAUUAUCUUCUUCUACUUGUGUUGCAAUGAACACUUACCAUGGAUGUUUGUUGGACAUAUUGUGAAGCUUCAGGUUUUAUUACUUUUCCACUCACUAUUUUUCUUAUGUGCUCGAUUUGGAAUGUGUACAGUUUCUCUUAUUUGUUGGAUAGUUGGAAGGUAUUUCAUUGUAUUGUAUGUAUCUAAGCAAGAGCAAUACUUCUAGGUCCUCCAUCAUCUAACCAUAUUGAUUAUAGUUUUCUUGAAUUCAUUGGCCUAAAAGGAAAGCUAAGCAAUGAAGUUUGGUGUAGGAUGUAAAAAUGGUUGGUGGAAAUUCUGUGAUCAGUGAAGCUAAAUGUUUCUCUCAUUAGGACAUUGUUGUGUUUAACUGAAUUAAUUUUUAACUGGCUAAACUUGUUGGUUUGAUUAUAAUCUUGGUUGUAUUUUGAUGGUGUAUGGUUCUAAGAGGCAUUGUGGGAUUAGCAUGAGACAAGUGUGGUUGGGCUUUACUCUUUUAUUUGAUGGUUUGCUUCUUGGUUUGGAAAGUUCUACUAUUUAAUUUUGAUGACUUCUCUGCAUAAUUCUAUAAUAUAGGUCUGUUGUUCUUUUAAUAGUUUUCCAAAACCUUUUGAUUCAUUAUUCUUGAUCCCAAACAUAGAAUUUUUGCAUGUAAUCUCGUGUGAUCCUAGACAACAAUGUCUCUUACUAUGAUGACGGACAUCAAUGUCUCUUACGCUGAAAUUUUUGAAAUUAGUAUAAGAAUGAUCCUGAAAUUGAAAUUGUUUAAAUGCUUCACUUUUGUUUCAACAAUCUCAUGUGUUUCUCGUUCCUUGAGUUUUGAAAUUUGCAUUUAUUUGUUUGCAACACAUUGAGUCUUUAUUUGAGGUUUCUCUUUCAGUUCAUUAACUCAGCAAGUGAUGGAAUAUAGUGGGACGACUAACAUGUUUAAUCAACCAGUUAUAGAUUUUUUUCUUUUUUUCCUUUAUUGUUUAUUGAGUUGAGUGCUUUGAAAAUAUUUCUGUAACCAAUUGGGAUUGAAAGUCCAGCGUUAUGCCUGGCAUUAGAUAAUUGGACUUCUUUUAUUAGUUAUCCAAACCGUUCAUUUUUUUCAUAUUUGUUCUAUUUGGACAGGAAUUGUAUGCGAGAGAGAUAAUGAAGUUUUGGAGGUGAAUUUGUUAAUUUCAGUUACGACUAUGGAGGAAUUGUAUUUUGGAGGUGAAUUUGUGAAUUUGUAUGAGACAACUUUGUUUCUCUGAAAUUUAGAGAGCCUCUUUAAUAUUGCAUGGUAGUUUUUUUAUACGAUAUACAAGUAUAUCCAGUUUUAUUUGGAUAUUUUUUAGCAACAAUGCUUUUGGAAUAGGAUUUGUUUGAGCGCUACCAUGAGAAAGUUCAACUUGAAACGACAACAACUCAUAAUAGCCUAAUUCCUUCUAUAUGAGGUUUCACCUUUUAUUUAACUUCUAAGGACUUGAUUACCAACAUUAGGAUUGAAUUGUGAUUUGUUUUUCUACAGUGGUUUAUGAUUGUCUUCAAACAAUGUUUGGAUCUCAUCGAGCCAGUUGGUUUCUGAGUUAAGAAUUUUUCUAAUAUUUUCUAAAAUUCCUCCCCUGAAACAAGUGUUUUUAGUUUUCUUGAAUUUUUGCUCUUUACAGAUAAGACAAGCAAUGGAUGUGUGACGACAUGUAGAAACAUGGGGAUCAAUUAAAGCCUUAGUUUGUCUUAAUUGGUGACUAGUUAUUUGAAUGCAGUUUUAUAUGUGGUGACAAUGAUCUAUCAAAAUAAAAAAAUUGGUUUAGGAUUUCCUCUCUAUUUGAUAUUUUCAGAUUUGAUCACCAAAUAUAAGGAUUUUCUGUUGCCAUUUGUUUCUCUGCAGUGAUGUUUGCAUUAUGGCUUUACAAGUCUUUCAGAGGAUCAGUAGUUUCAGAGGUGAAUUGUGUGUUGCAGUGUAAAUUGUUCAAGUUUAUUUAUUUGCAAAAGGGAUCAAUUCUCCAUUCAUUUUUGCAGAAGAUUAGAUGGCUAACAUUAUUGUUCGUUCAUUUGAUCCAGUAAGAGCUCAUUCUAGAAAUGUGGACUUCUCUUUAAAAGCCUUUGGUAUUUUAACUAUCUUCAAAAGAUAUUUUUUCUGGAUCUAUUGUUUUGACAGAGCAGGUCUUCGAGGAAGACACGAGUGUUGUUGAUUUUUAGAUUUGGAAUUGUUCAAGUACCAACAACAUGAUUUCAUGAUCUCUUAUGAUUUCCCCUGAAUUCUUGGUUGUUGUUUUGCCAGGGUAGGGUCUGGGUAGAUUUGGGUUUUUGGAUUCGGAAUUGUCCAACUACCAACAAUGUGUGUACAGGUUUGAAAUAGAUGAUGUGUUUGUCAGAUAUUUUCUAGGGAUAUAUAUAUAUAUAUAUAUAUAUAUAUAUAUAUAUUUAGUUGCUAGUUUUAUUUUUCAUUCAAUUACUUAAUUGCUUUAUUACUAUGAUCAUUUGAUUAUAAAAUUAUUCUUGGUAGUUAUAUAAUUAUUCAUGGUUGUUAGAUUACCUUUAAUAGUUACUGUUGUUGGAAAUAUAAUCUAGAAGUCCUUUGUUGGCUAAUGAUUCUCUAACAUUUUUUUUAAUUUUAUGGUAGUUGUAUUUUGCUUUGACAAUUUAGUUUAGUUUUUUUUAUUAACUCUGAUUGUUUCCAGCAUCGACACAUGAAUUUUGAACUUGUUCUUGCAUAAUUUAUCAUGGGAGAAAAUGAAUUGGUGGUGUAGGUUUGGGAAACAGUGGAUCAAGACCCUAUGGAAAUUUGGGUUUUAUUCUGUGUUUAUUAUUUUCUUUGCUGCUAUUAUUCACGGAUAAACUUGUGGACUGGGAAUGCUUACCUCUUUAUGACAGGCACUGUAAAUGUCUGUGUCAGCCAUUUAAUUUUCUCUUUCUAGUCCGCACUCAGACAUUUCUUUCAGCAACCAGUCAUUUAAUCGGAAAGAGAGUUUUGUUUCCUUUCAUGUUCUUUGUUGUCAAAACAACCUUUGUUUCUUUCUUAUCAGCUAUAGUAUUUAAUUCACUGCGAUCUCAGGAUGUGUUAUUUGGAAGUGAUGUGGUUAUUCAUUCGAGGAUUGAUGUGUUAUUUGGAAGUGAGGUGGUUAUUCAUUCGAGGAUUGAGUUUCAUUCCCUUUGACUUGCAUUUUUUUGUGUUCAUAGCUAUCAAACAACUUUCUUCCUUUGAAAUGUAUGGAGUCUAUUUUUUUAAGAUGAAAUCCCCUCUAAAUGUUAAUGUUUUAUUUUUUUUCUUUCUUUUUCAUCAUUUCCUAGUUAUUUGUGUUUCUCAUAGGCUUGGUCUCAUCCCUUCGACUUGCAUUUGUUUGUGUUCAUUGCUAUUAAACAACAUUUUUUUUAAAUGUAUGGAGUCUUUUUUGUUACGUCUAGAGAUGUUGAUUUGCUUGUUUUCAUUCCGUUUUAGGUGUUGAUUUGUUUGCGUUCAUUCCUUUUUAGGUGUUGAUUUGUUUGUGUUCAUUCCUUUUUAGCAUUUGGAGGCCUCAAGAAUGGUUGAGGAUUAAAAUCUGGAAGUGUUUAGAACGACCAAUAAUUCAGGAUAACCUAAUUUCAUUAGUUUCCUUUCCAUUUGAUUUCUUGAGAUUUGAUCACGAAGAAUAAGGAUUGAAUUGUCAUUUGUUUUUAUGAUGUCUUUCUUUGUUUUGAAUGUCUUAUUGUCUCUAUACUUCAACUCUAUGAGCCGUUGUAGCCUUCCUGAAUUCUUGGGGUGUACAGUACAGGACAAACAUGCAACAGAUGUUACGUAGGACAGAUGUGAGUAUCCUUAAAGCUCUAGGUUUUGGUAUCCACACAUAUUUUUGUCUUUAAUUGGGACUGGCUAUUUGAAUUUCUCUGGUUUUUGAAUUCCUUCAAUUCAUCUUAUGCUUUCUUAACUUCUUGGUCUUUAUUACCAAUAUCUAUUUUUAUUUAAAUAUAGUUCUUAAAUUUUUUAUGUCUAGGUGUUGAUUCGUUUGUGUUCAUUUCUUUUUAGCAUGUAAGACUGGUUAAGGAUUAAAAUCUGCUAGUGUACACGAAAAACAAGCCACGGAUGUGAGGUAGGAUAUCUAAAUACUGGAAGGAGAUGCUUGAUUCUGUAGGUUAUCCAUAAUCUUUGAUGACAGAUGCUUACUUGAGUUUGGAUGUAGUUAUUUAUUUGAUGAAAGAGAUCUAUCAUAUGUAACUUUGUGUUAGUUCCUUUUCAGCAGGGGAUUCUGGUUGAGGAUUAAAAAACAUAAAUUUGAAUAUUGAUUUUGUUUGAUUAUUGAAAUAUGACAAAUCUAGCUGUUUGAUCUUUGAAUAUGUUGAUUCUUUUUAGCAAAUCAUAGGUUAGUAAUAAUAAAAUGCUCAGGGAAGAUGUCUCCCCUUUACUUGAAACAUUGUAGAUAGAGCAUAUUUUUCCAGACUGAUAUGCGAGGUAGGGUGUGGAAACACUUCCCAGGGGAUUUGUGAAGCUUUAGGUUGUUACCUGUUAGAUAUUAUUAGAUAUUAUUAGAUAUUAUUAGAUAUUAUUAGAUAUAAUUAGAUAUUAUUUGAUAUUAUGAGAUAUUAUAGAUAUUGUUAGAUAUCUCAUAUUUAUGUAAUGGGCUUAGCCCAUAUGUUUCUUUUCCUAUAUAAACAUAACCCUAUGUGUUCAAUAUACACAAGGGAUUUACCCUAUUCUUUCUUUUCCUUUAAUAUUACCCUUACCAUUCUUGUGUCUUUAUUUGUGACUGACUAAACUUCUUGUUUGGAUUCUAAGUUUUGGUUGGAUUCAUUGCUAACAUUGUAGUUUGACUGGCAGUCUGGCAGUUCUUGUGGGUUUAGAGGUCGUGUAAUACUCUCUUUUUUAAGUUGUCCAUUUCUAAGUAAUUUAGGCUUCUCUUAGCUUUUACCAGUCCUGGAUUCAUAGUGAAAUUUGACCCUUUUACAUGGUGCAAUUGAAAUUAAGGAGAGAAUUAUUGAUCUUUAGUUUUCUAGUACUGAAUUAAUUUUGGAUUUGUUUUGGUGUAGCAAAUCUGAAAGGUCAUUUUCUUAGUUAUUACUUCAUUUACUAAAUAAUCAAGAGCAUUGGACAAUUUGAUUUUGUAGUGUUUUGUUUGCUGCAUUGACAAAUGAAUCUUGCAUUCUAUUGUUUUUAGGAGUUUUAGAUUACAUCCUGAAUAUGACAUGAUGAUCUCUUCUAUCUUCCAAAAUGAGAAUGAUCUGCAACAUUAGAGUUGUAUUUAGUUCUAUGUCCAAUGUGAGAAUGAGAAAAUUAAGAGCUCUAUUUAGUUUUAUCUCCAAUUAUCUCUAAUAUGAGAAUGAGAAACAACAGUAGUUGGAAUGUUUUCUUGCAAUCUUCCUGUGCUAUGAUUUAGUUCUCUCUCCAUAUAUGAGAAUAAGAAAAUGAGAAAGAGAAACAAGAUUAUUUGGAAUGUUUUGUAGUAAUCUUCUUGCACUAUGAUUCGGUUCUCUCCCAAUAUGCGAAUGAGAAACAACAAUAUUUGGAAAGUUUUGUCGUAAUCUUCUUGUGCUAUGAUUCGGUUCUGUCCCCAAUAUGCGAAUGAGAAGAUGAGAAACAACAGCUUAUGAGAGCUCCAUUUGGUUCUAUCUCCAAUAUGAGAAUGAGAAACAACAGUACAUGAGAGUUCUAUUUAGUUUUAUCUCUAAUACGAUAAAGAAGAGAAACAAAAGCAUUUGGAUUGUUCUCUUUGUAAUCUUCGUGUGCUAUGAGCAACGCCUCCCCUCGAGGCUAUGGUUACGGGUGAUGCCUCUCUAUUCCAACAUGAGAGCUCUAUAUAUUUUUUUGGGGUGGGGUCUCAAUUUAUGAUACCAUGUGGAAGCAGACACCAUAUUUUUGCCGUCUAUAUUUCUCAGCUCUUGCUGAUUUUGCCAUGCUGAACUUAGUUUUCUUGAAUUGCCAUUCUUCUUAAAUUUUUACAGUAAAGCAAUAGAUAUGUGGGGGCAGGUUUUGGAAACAUUGUAUGGAGAUCUGGUGAAACUUUAGAUUUUAUUAUCUUUGCAUAUUCAUCAUUUUCUUUGAUGGCUAAACUUGUGGAUUGGGAGUUCUUGUAAACAGGCACUAUGUGAGUUUGAGAGGCUUUGGCAAUUGUGUUGUUAGGCCUUCGAUCCUGGUGAUUUGAUAAUCUGUUGCAGUGAAGACUUUAUGGAUGUCUGUUACCCAAAUUACGGUACAUUAUUGGACUUACAUUUCCAUUUCACUAUUUUUUUUAUAUCCUUGAUUUGGUUGUGGUAUCUCUUAUUGGUUGAAUAGUGGGAAGGCACAUGUGAAUCUUAUGAUGUAUUGCCUUUAAUAGUUUUUGCUGUUGGAAAAAUAAUCUAGAAGUCCUUUCUUAGCAAAUUAUUCUCAUUAUUGUAGAAAUUCUAUAACAUUUAUUCAGGUUUUACUUUCUACAAUUAGUUUAUUUUUAUCCACUCCGAUAACUAAUUAAAUAUUUACUUUCUCUAGAAAGUAGACUAUGUGAUUGAUAUAUUUUAAUGUUAUUCAUAAAUUAGUUCUUUAUAUUAAUCAUUACAAAAAUGUUUGGUAUACACUCAUAUUUAUCAUAUUGCCUUCAAGUAGAAAGGUAUUUGUAUAGGGCAAUUGCUUCCUCCCCCAAUCAAUUUUGACUAGCAUUCAAUAGAAGUUUUAAAACUUCAUUAUGCCUUUUUCACGGCUUACGAAUGCCAAUAUCCAAAAGUGACAUAUUUGCCUAUGGAUAUUGCCAUUUGGAAGUGAUAGUUUUGCCUACGGAUAUUAACAUUCGAAAGUGUCAGUUUUGCCUACGGAUAUUGACAUUUGGAAGUGUCAGUUUUGCCUACGGACAUUGGCAUCUGGAACUGGCACUCUUUGAUUGCGUUCAUUUUUAUCCGAAAGGCACUAUCAUUUUUCUUAAUAUACAUAUCAGGAAGCCAAUCAUCCUUAACUUUUUUUUUUGGCAGUGUAAUGAUUUUGUUACUUUUAAUGGAUUAAAACCACUAAACCGAACCAAUUUAAAGAAUAAAAGUAAAAUCAACAUUAAAAUUUGUUACUUGCUUUUUAUUAUAAAAUAUUUAUAUUAUCAUUUAUAUAUUUUCAAAUGCAUUAACCAUUGAUGACAUAUAGAACAUUGUUGAGAGUAGAAAAAAAGCACCCAAUAAACACAUUUUGGAUUUUCAAAAUGGGACCUGAUGAAAAAGACUUUCGUGGUGCAUAUGGAUGUUUAUAUUCAUAACUCAUAACACAAUUACGGACAAAAAUAUUCAGAACCCGUGAGAAGCGUGAAGCGACACGUCUCCUUUUCUGGUGUCUUUGCUUUCUGUCGUUGUUGAAGUGGCUCAAAAGCGUUGCUUGCGUGUGUGUAAGACUUUCGGAAGAGAAUGUCUACAAGAAACAAUGAAUGACCUUCUGCACUGUGCUUGAUUGUGGGGUGUAUGGAACCUAAUUUCACUCAUUAAGGGUGUCAUGGUAAUUUCAUAUAGAUCAUUAAGGGUGUUAUGGUAAUUUCAAACAGAAAAUUGGGUGUUAGUUAGAAUUGAUUGGGUGCAGGAGAGUCAGCUUUGUGUAGCAAUAAAAAGUCACAAAGAAAUCUAUUCAACUCUAAAAGGUUGUGAUAUUUAACACCACAAAGAGUAAAAAACAUUCACAAAUUAAUAAAAUAAUAUUUUAAUCAUAUUUAAUUUAUUUUUAUUUUUAAAUAUUAUUAUAUUAUUAUAAUGAGAUGUUAAGUAUACGUUUUUACAUGGUGUCAAAAAAUUAUUUUCCUAUUCUAAAAGAACUUAGACAAAUGUCUUAUUAUAAUAAAACUAAUAAUGUGGAAAAUAUUUUAAAAAACACUAAUAAAAGAAAUAAGUUUAUUUUUCAAAUUGAAGUCAAAUUAAGAUUAAAACAAUCUUAAAAUUUAAUUAUAUUGACUAAAAAGUUAAUAAAAACAAAACAAUAUUUACAAGAUAUUUUUAAAUAUCUUUAAAAUAAUAACUGCAAAUUUGUUUCCCCUGUUUUGUGUCAGCGGUUUGUUAUAAGAUAAGGAUGAAAAUCUUAAUUGCAUAUUUUCACCUCACCGCGUAAUAUAAGCUGUCAAUCUUGACCCUCCCUUUCUAUAUAUACCCGAAGAUCUUAUUGAGUUUAUCAUAUUGAGUUUUGUUGGUAUUGGUUCCGUGAUUGAGUUUUGUUAGUACUGAUUGGGGGUGAUUGUUGUGCUUCUUAUUAUCAAGUCUCCGUGGUUUCGUCGAAUUAUAUCAUGUUUGCUAUCAUCGAUGUGGUUUUGAUGUGGUUUUGUCGGAUUGAAGAAUGCAAGAAUCUUUUAUAGGAUUGAAGAACGCCAAUUCUGAAUAUGAUUCUUUAUGUGAUGAUGACAAGUUUUGAAUCUUUUGAUCAAAUUCCUUUAUCCCUUUUCUGCUGGUGACGGGGUCUUUGAGUAUUUUCUUCUACUUUCCUUUCUAUUAUUUGAUUUAUCUGGUAUUGAUCACGAAAAUAAGGAUUGGACUAUGAUUUGUUUAUCUGCAGUGGUGUAACACGUUUCUUAGUUAGUUUUCUUGAUUUUUGGGCUGUACAGGGAAGACACGCAAUGGAUGUGAAAUGAAGUAUUAUGUUUUCUUGACUUCUUAUGGGUUUAUUCGUGACUGAUUAUUGGAUUUCGUAGCCUAACUUGGUGUUUAUGUUCACUCCCCUUCAGCAAUUCGAGUUUCUGAGAUUUGAAACCCUAAAAAGUUUGAAACGGUUGCAGCUCAGGACAUCCCAAUUCUCUCUAUCUAUUGUUUAAUUUCUCUCUACUUUAUCUCCAAGGAUUGAAUUGUGUUCGACGUUUGAAUUAUUUUCCCUUAAUGUUAUGAGGCCCCAAGGGUUGAAUUGGUGUUUGAAUUAUUUUUUUCGCUUAAUGUCCUGCAGAGUAUGUUAUGAGACAUAAGGGCUGAAUUGUGAUUUGUUUCCUGUUUGGAUGAUUUGCAUAGCAUCUUAUAGAAUAUGAAUGGUUUGGUUUUCGCACGGUUCUCGCGAGUAUGUUAUAGCCACCAUUCUUCCUUGGUUUUUAAGUCUUCAAUUUAUCUUAUCGUUCUAUACUUCAUCCUCGAUUACCAGUUAUACUUUGUUGAAUUAUUGUUCUUUACAGGGAUGAGUGGGGAUAAGACAGGGAUGUGUGGGUAGGACGUUCCUCGUGGUUGGUUGAAAAUGGUGGAUGAGCCAUGCUCGACGGUAUGAAAAACACAACGACAAUGGGCUCGACAUAACCGAAGUCUUUUUUGAGUUUUCCUUCUAUUUUUCUUCAACAUAAGGAUAUGAUUUGUUUAUCUGCAGUGGUGUUUUGAACCUUUUGCGUAAAUUUCUUUGCUCCUUUUCAGUUGGUGGCCGAUUCUCUGGCGUUUCUUUAGCUUUUGGAUGAUUUGAAAACUAGAACGACCAAGAGCUAGGCAUAACCUAAGUCUUUGUUGAGUUUCCCUUCUUUAACUUUUUUUUCUGCUAUUGAUCACAGUACAUAAGGAUUGAACUAUGAUUUGUUUAUCUGCAGUGGUGUUUGGAUUAGUUGGGUAACGACACAUACUCAUCUUAUCAUGUUCCUAUAACUAGUAAAUUCAUUUACUGAAUUUUGAGUAUAAUUGUCUAUUUGAGUAUGACGAGUUUUAUACCUUUUGCGUAAAUUUCUUUUCAGCUGGUGGCUGGUUUUUUGGUAUUUCUUUUGCCUAUGGAUGAUAUGGAAAGCACAACGACCAAGGGCUCGACAUAACCUUAAGUCUUUUUUUAGUUUCCCUUCUAUUUUUGUUAUGGUAUUGCAUAAGGAUUGAACUAUGAUUUGUUUAUCUGCAGUGGUGUUUGGAUUAGUUGGGUAACGUCACAUAUUAAUCUUAUCAAGUUUCUAUAAUUAGUAAAUUCAUUUAUGUCUAUAUGAGAAUGACGAGUUUUGAACCUUCUGCGUAAAUUUCUUUGCACCUUUUCAGCUGGAGUUCUCUGUCAUUUCUUUCUCCUAUGGAUGAUAUGAAAAGCAGAAGGACCAAGGGGCUCGACAUAACCUAAGUCUUUUUUGACUUUUUUUUUCUAUUUUUCUUUUUCCUGGUAUUGAUGACAGUACAUAAGGAUUGAACUAUAAUUUGGUUAUCUGCAGUGGUGUUAGGAUUAGUUGGAUAACGACGCAUAUUCAUCUUACAAGUUGCUAUAACUAGUAAAUUCAUUUAUGUGAAUUUUGAGUAUAAUUCUCUAUUUGAGUUUGACAAGUUUUAAACCUUUUGCGUAAAUUUAGUUUCAGCUGGUGGCUGGUUUUUUUGCCUUUCUGUUGCCUAUGGAUGAUAUGAAAAGCACAAUGACCAACGGGCUCGUCAUAACCUAAGUCUUUUUUGAGUUUUCCUUCUUUUUUUCUUUUUCCUGGUAUUGUUCACAGUACAUAAGGAUUAAACUAUGGUUUUGUUUAUCUGCAGUGGUAUUUGGAUUAGAUGGGUAACAACGCAUAUUCAUCGUAUCAAGUUUCUAUAACUAGUAAAUUCAUUUACGUCAAUUUUGACUAUAGUUCUCUAUUUGAGUUGACACUAUAGUUCUUUAUUUGAGUAUGACGAGGAAAAUUACUUAAAUUUCUUUUCAGCUGAUCAAGGGCUCAACAUAACCUUAAAUCUUUUUUGACUUUCCCUUUUAUUAUUUUUUUUAGGUAUUACAUAAGGAUUGAACUAUGAUUUGUUUAUCUGCAGUGGUGUUAUGAUUAGUUGGGUAACUUCACAGAUUCAUCUUAUCAAGUUUCUAUAAUUCAUUUAGGUGAAUUCUGAGUAUAAUUCACUAUUUGAGGAUGAUGAGUUUUGAACAUUUUGUGUAAAUUUCUUUGCAUAUUUUCAGUUAUUGGCUGGUUCUCUGGCAUUUCUUUUGCCUAUGAAUGAUAUGAGAAGCACAACGACCAAGGGGCUCAACAUAACCUAAGUCUUUUUUGAGUUUUCCUUAUAUUUUUCUUUUUACUAGUAAUAAUAACAGUACAUAAAGAUUGAACUAUGAUUUGUUUAUCUGCAGUGGUGUUUGGACUAGUUGGGUAACGACGCAGAUUCAUUUUAUCAAGUUUCUAUAACUAGUAAAUUCAUUUACGUGAAUUUUGAGUAAAAUUCUCUAUUUGAGUAUGACGAGGUUUAAACCUUAUGCGUAAAUUUCUUUUCAGCUGGUGGCUGGUUUUUUGGCAUUUCUUUUGCCUAUGGAUGAUAUGCAAAGCACAACGACCAAGGGCUCGAUAUAACCUUAAGUCUUUUUUGAGUUUCCCUUAUAUUAUUCGUUAAUGGUUUUACAUAAGGAUUGAACUAUGAUUUGUUUAUCUGCAGUGGUGUUUUGGAUUAGUUGGGUAACGUCGCAUAUUCCUCUUAUCAAGUUUCUAUAGUUAGUAAAUUCAUUUAUGUCUAUAUGAGGAUGACAAGUUUUGAACCUUCUGCGUAAAUUUCUUUGCACCUUUUCAGCUGGCGUUCUCUAGCAUUUCUUUCUCCUAUGGAUGAUAUGAAAAGCAGAAGGACCAAGGGGCUCAACAUAACCUAAGUCUUUUUUGAGUUUUUUUUUCUAUUUUUCUUUUUCCUGGUAUUGAUGACAGAACAUAAGGAUUGAACUAUGAUUUGUUUAUCUGCAGUGGUGUUUGGAUUAGUUGGAUAACGACGCAUAUUCAUCUUACAAGUUUCUAUAACUAGUAAAUUCAUUUACGUGAAUUUUGAGUAUAAUUCUCCAUUUGAGUGUGACGAGUUUUAAACCCUUUUUGUAAAUUUACUUUCAGCUGGUGCCUGGUUUUUUGGCCUUUCUGUUGCCUAUGGAUGAUAUGAAAAGCACAACAACCAAGGGCUCGACAAAACCUUAAGUCUUUUUUGAGUUUCCUUCUAUUUUUUUAUGGUACUACAUAAGAAUUGAACUAUAAUUUGUUUAUCUGCAGUGGUGUUUGGAUUUGUAUAACGUCACAUAUUCAUCUUAUCAAGUUUCUAUAAUUAGUAAAUUCAUUUAGGUCUAUAUGAGGAUGACGAGUUUUGAACCUUUUGCGUUAAUUUCUUUGCACCUUUUCAGCUGGAGUUGAGUUGUGAACUUGUUUGGAAGUUUUGCAUGUAAUCUCCUUUGAGCCUAGACUGCAAUGUCUCUUAUGCUGAAAUCUUUGAAAUCAGAAUAAUGAACCGGAGUGACAACAAUGCUCUAACGCUGAAAUUUUUGAAAUCAGUAUAAUAAUGAUCCUGAAAUUGUUUAAAUGCUUCACUUUUGUUUCAACAAUCUCCAUUUAUGUUUCUCAUUCUUCGAGUUUUGAAAUCAGCAUUUAUUUGUUUGCAGCACAUUUUGUCUUUAUUUGAGGUUUCUCUUUCAGAUUGUUAACUCAACCAGUGAUGGAAUAUAGUGGGACGGCUAACAUGUCUUAUCAACAAGUUUGAGUGUUUAUCCAAAACCAUUCCAUUCAUUUCUUUUUCAUAUUUGUACAAUUUGGAAAAGGAUUGUAUCCGAGAAAGAUAAUGGAGUUUUGGAGGUGAAUUUGUUAAUUUUAAUCAGAUUGACGAACGUCUCUUGGACAGGAUUUCGUCUCUAUUUGAUAUUUUCAGAUUUGAUCACCAAACAUAUGGAUUUUCUGUUGUCAUUUGUUUUUGUGCAGUGAUAUUUGCAUAAUGUUUCAUGCUACGUCUAAUCAAUCAUGUUGUUUGGAAGUUUGUAUGACUCUUGAUAACAGGCUUUACAAGAGUUUGGGAGGAUUAGUAAUUUCAGAGGUGAUACCUAUUAUCAUAUUUGUGUCUUGUAGUGUGAACUGUUCAAGUUUAUUCAUUUGCAAGAGGGAUCAAUUCUCCACUUUUGAUGCAGAAGAUUAGAUGGCUAACAUUAUUGUCCGUUCAUUUGAUCCAGCAAGAGCCCAUUCUAGAAAUGUGGUCUUCUCUUUAAAGGCCUUUAGUAUUUUACUAUCAUAAAUAGAUAUUAUUUCUGGUUCUAUUGUUUUGACUGAGAGGAAGUCACAAGUCUUGUUGAUAUAUGAUGAUCUCUUAUCAUUUCCCCUUAAUUCUUGGUUGUUGUUUUGACAGGGUAGGGUUUGGGGAGUCUGGGUUUUUGGAUUAGGAAUUGUCCAACCACCAACAAUGUGUGUACAAGUUUGAAAUAUAUGAAUGAAGGCUGUCAAGGAAAAUGAUUACAGCAAUGAAGGCUAAAAAAAAAAUUGCGGAAGCAGAGUCUCCUAGAUCAGGAUAUAUAUAUGCUAGAGUGGAAAGAAAUAGAUGAAAUAUAUUUCUGAGAUAUCUUACAAAUGUGAUUACAGUCUCUAUUUAUAGACUGUUUUACAACCUAAUUAAAGAAAGAAAUAAUAGGUGAUGAAAGCCAGAAAUAAAUAAUGAGUGUUUAAAGCUGUACAAAUCAAAUAAAAUAAAAUCACUAACAAAUCUGUACUAAUAAAUAUAAAAUGGAAUCUGCACUUAAUUAUAACAUAAUUCUCCUGAUUAUGCAACAGU
rnacentral:lncRNA from 1 species